rnacentral:piRNA from 1 species
ACCAAACAUAAGCAUGUUUGUGAGGGAAGC